UGGGGGAAUAUUGCGCAAUGGGCGAAAGCCUGACGCAGCGACGCCGCGUGAGGGAUGAAGGUCUUCGGAUCGUAAACCUCUGUCAGCAGGGAAGAACGGUCACUGUGCUAAUCAGCAGUGAAUUGACGGUACCUGCAAAGGAAGCACCGGCUAACUCCGUGCC
rnacentral:rRNA from 1 species